rnacentral:lncRNA from 1 species
CUUAAAAUUUCAGAGAUUUAGUUUCUUCAUAUGAAAAAUCUAUAUUUUCACGUAUAUUUGGGGUUUCGAAAUAGUGACUAUAACUGUCUAGGAGAGUACAUAGCACAUAAAAACUCUCAGUAAGUGAUAGCUGUCUUUAUUUCAGAGUCUAUAAACUAACAUUUCAGCUCAUAGCCCAAAUUACUCCAGCCCUUCUUUCCCAGUGAGUCUCAAUCAUGUUUCUCCUGCUAGAAGCACUUUAAUCCAUUAGAUAGUGGAAAUCAGACUUUAACAUAUUACUGGAAAUACUUUAAGCAACAUAAUGCUGCAAAUAGAGAUUCUAUUAUUCAUUUAAACGUUAGUUUAAAAGUAAUGUGGAAAUGCUAUAUAUAAUUAUUAAGGCAGAGUAAAAUGAAUGGUUUUAAAUAGGCUUGCAAAGUUAUGAUGGAAUUAGAUUGCACUGCAUUGUUUCCUAGGUAAGAAUGUGCUGUGCUGCAAACCACCAUGGCACAUGUUUACCUAUGUAACAAACCUGCACAUCCUGCCCAUGUACCCCUGAACUUAAAAUAAAAGUUGGGGAAAAAAGAAUGUGCCUA